rnacentral:lncRNA from 1 species
GUCAACUCGUUUAUAUUAUUGAUGCCCAGUGGACUAAACGCUUACAAGCAAUUUCAAGCCCAACAAAUAUUACAAUCAACCCAUAAGCCCAAAUGAAAGGAUAAUGAUGUUUGCAUGUGUGACACGUACUCCCUUUCGUGGGUCUGAUGCAUCGGGAAUCGGAAGACGAAGCUGUAGCCGGAAACCUACCGGAACAAAGAUCUCCCCCGCCGACUCGCUUGAUACUGCUUGUUCACUCUACUAUCCUUCAAAUCGCCAUCGAUCUUCAAGCACUCAUCUCAAAUCGCUAGUAAAGGAAUGCUGGUUAUUUGAUUCACCAUAAUAAAUCUGAAAAUAAAUUUAAAUAUAAUCAAUUAAAUCAGCUAAGAAUUUAAAAUAUUG